rnacentral:tRNA from 1 species
AUUUAGGUGGCAGAAAAAUGCAUAGGGUUUAAGCCCCUAUAAUACGUAAAUUUUACGUCCUAAAUA